AAAUCGUUACUGUCACCAUUGUCCAGGAAUUUUAGCGAAUGUCUUAGAGAGCAAUCUGUGUGUGUGUGUGUGUGAGACAGAGUUUCACUCUGCCACCCAGGCUGGAGUGCAGUGUGUGAUUUCAGCUCACUGCAACCUCAGCCUCCCGGGUUCAAGCAAUUCUCCUGCCUCAGCUUCCCGAGUGGCUGGGACCAUAGACAGAGUCUCUCUUGCUCAGGCUGGAGUGCAAUGAUGUGAUCUUUGCUCACCACAACCUCCGCCUCCUGUGUUCAAGCGAUUCUCUUGCCUCAACCUCCAGAGUAGCUGGGAUUACAGGGGCCAAAAACUGGCUGGGGAGCUGGGCGAUGGGCUCGGAGGCAGGAGAGAGAGCAGUACCAGUCAUUCGACAUCCAGCAACGAUUUGUUAAUGGUCUACCCGGUGCCUGGCACUGCAUUGGGCGCCAGAAUUACAACAGGAACGGAGAUGAAGUUUCUGGCCUCCUGAAUUUACAUUCUCAUCACGGGAGAGCCACAUCGCGCCUCAUCACUUGUAGCAAGCUUCCGUCAGAUGAUGGAGAACUCCAGUACUUGGCUUUGAACCUGCCUGCUUCUAACUGCUGGAGAAAGAAACCUCAGCCAGCUGUGGAGAAAGGGGCCGUCACCUCCCGCAGCUGCAGCAAAGCAGGUGUUAUUCUCCAUCAUAAAGCAUCCUGGCCAAGAAAGGGAUCUUCAGAAGUUGUUGCUAUGCCCUGGGAAAGCUACCUUCAACCUCCAAAAUGUCUGUCAUCCUGAUCGGGUUUCUUACUCAAGAAGUUGUGGCCCUGGGUAACGCUCUAUGUGUCAAAACCUUUGUUUUCUAAAUUGUCUAUCUGGCUGGCUUCCCAUCCGUCUUCUAGAGUGACCUUUCUCAAUUCCAAGUCCGGUUAAGGCAGAAGAGCUUCAGCAGUGAGCCCUUCUUCUCCCUGUUCACUUAAAAAUAAAAAUCACAAUAUACACGUUUAGAAAAAGAGA
rnacentral:lncRNA from 13 species